AGUGAACGCUGGCGGUAGGCCUAACACAUGCAAGUCGAACGGCAGCACAGUAAGAGCUUGCUCUUACGGGUGGCGAGUGGCGGACGGGUGAGGAAUACAUCGGAAUCUACUUUUUCGUGGGGGAUAACGUAGGGAAACUUACGCUAAUACCGCAUACGACCUACGGGUGAAAGCAGGGGAUCUUCGGACCUUGCGCGAUUGAAUGAGCCGAUGUCGGAUUAGCUAGUUGGCGGGGUAAAGGCCCACCAAGGCGACGAUCCGUAGCUGGUCUGAGAGGAUGAUCAGGCACACUGGAACUGAGACACGGUCCAGACUCCUACGGGAGGCAGCAGGGGGGAAUAUUGGAAAAUGGGCGCAAGCCUGAUCCAGCCAUACCGCGUGGGUGAAGAAGGCCUUCGGGUUGUAAAGCCCUUUUGUUGGGAAAGAAAAGCAGCAGGUUAAUACCCCGCUGUUCUGACGGUACCCAAAGAAUAAGCACCGGCUAACUUCGUG
rnacentral:rRNA from 1 species